CCUACGGGCGGCAGCAGUCGAGAAUCAUUCACAAUGGGGGAAACCCUGAUGGUGCGACGCCGCGUGGGGGAAUGAAGGUCUUCGGAUUGUAAACCCCUGUCAUGUGGGAGCAAAUUAAAAAGAUAGUACCACAAGAGGAAGAGACGGCUAACUCUGUGCCAGCAGCCGCGGUAAUACAGAGGUCUCAAGCGUUGUUCGGAAUCACUGGGCGUAAAGUGUGCGUAGGCUGUUUCGUAAGUCGUGUGUGAAAGGCGCGGGCUCAACCCGCGGACGGCACAUGAUACUGCGAGACUAGAGUAAUGGAGGGGGAACCGGAAUUCUCGGUGUAGCAGUGAAAUGCGUAGAUAUCGAGAGGAACACUCGUGGCGAAGGCGGGUUCCUGGACAUUAACUGACGCUGAGGCACGAAGGCCAGGGGAGCGAAAGGGAUUAGAUACCCCUGUAGUC
rnacentral:rRNA from 1 species